GGGUGCGUAGCUCAGUUGGUGAGAGCGCCAUCCUCACACGAUGGAGGUCCCCCGUUCAAGUCGGGGCGCACCCA
rnacentral:tRNA from 1 species